UUACCCUAUUCUCUUGUUUGCAAAACCAAAGAAAAGAGGAGGCGGAAUUUGACGAAGAAAGACGAGGCGAGGACCCAUGGAGAAUCAGAUGUCCCCAUGAGUGUUUUUUUCAGAGAGAGAACGCGAUGCAUUCUGAGAGCAUGGUUGAGAGAGAGAGAGAAGAGAGAUUUUUCUGGAGAGAGAAUGGGCAAGGAGGAAAACAGUGACAAUUCCAAUGAUGAAUAUAUGAUGGGGGUCAAUUAUAUUUUGUACCCGUACCUUUACCCUAAAUUUUUAAUAAUACUAUUAUUUCCGAUGAUUUCACUCAUGUUUUCUCUCAUUGCACUAUAUUUUUUUUUGCCUUAUUAUGUGUAUUUUACCCAAAUAUCUGGUACGGAAUGUAGUUAAAAUAUUUGGAUAAAUAAUUUUCCAAAGUAUAAUUACAAGAGAAUUUGGGUAAUUUUACUUAACAUGUAAUUGGAUAAACAAACGAUAUGAGAAAAUUACACUCCAUACUAUCCAUUUAUGAAAAUCUUUAGACUUUAGGUCACAUAUCAAUGUGGCAUUUUUGCUCAAUUACUAUUAGGACCACAUGAACCGAACCUCUUUUCCCAUGAGCUUUCAUACCUCCCUUUUAUCACUUAAGCUUGUUGGAAGCUAUGAAUUUUUUUUGACAAGAAUGGAAAAAUACAAGAAAAAAUUCCGUGUUUGUCCUCGUAGUUUUGGACAAGAAGACAAGGAAAUGUAUGUAUUAUUUCUCAUUUUGAAAAUUUUCUUUUACGCUCGAUUGUUUUCGGAUGAAAAGUCUUUUCCUUUUCUCCGAAAAAUAUUUUUCGAUAAAGCAGUUUUUAUAAAUGAAUUAUUUUUUGGACUUUGACUUGACCUUGAUGUCAUUUUUUUUGAAUCACUUUCUGUUAUUACUUUGACAUGAAAAUCAUAAAAAGUUCAACACCAAUAAUCAAUAAUACCUAUCAAUAACCUUUAAUCAUACCCUUACUUUGCAGUAGGCAUGUCUAUAGUUCUAUUAAGCAUAUUAUACAAGAUAAAACAAAAAUGUGAGAACUAUUUUUUCUCAUAGCUUCUUUUAACUUACUUUCUUUUCCUUUCGUUUUUUUUUUUCCCACAUGUUUCCAAACAUAACCUUAAUUUUGAGCUUAUGGUAGACGAAAGGACACAGUCCUGUACAAAAGAAAAAAAAAGUCAACCUAAAGCCCAGCCCGACCCGAAAAACUUUUCGAUUUGGGCAGGCUUCGUUUAAUACACUUAGGGUUCGUUUGCUAUCGGAUGGGCGGGUAAUAAUUUUUCUUCCCUGAUAAUUUUUUCCCCUGCGUUUGCUGACAUAUAUGAAGGCGAAUAUUUUAUACUCCUCCCGGAUAAUUUAUACCCGUCGGAGGUGGAUAAUUUUUGGUGGCGUAGACCCUAAUAAAAGUUAUCUUCUGGAGAUAAGGGGGUGGGGGUAAGAAAAAAUAUAUAGAAAAAGAAACAAAAUUGUAAUAUCUUUUAUAUAUAUAGAGAGAGAUAAAAUAUAUUUUUUAAAUAUCUAAUAUUUUUAUAAGUUUAAUUUCUCUCUAUAUAUUUUCUUCUUUAUUCUCCACCCUUAUCCACCCAUUCGAAAAAGUAUCCACACCCUAAAUUAAAAGUUAUUCCCCUCUAAUUUUAUUAUCCCCCUCCCCUAUCCUCCCAGCCAAACGGCCCUAGGCCCAAGCCCCUACCCACAAUAAUUAGAUUGCCCCGGCCUAAAACCUAGCUUUAUAACGGUUGGGCUUGAUCUGGCCGCGUUUUUUCUUACAACCCCGAAAGCACAUUAAUAAUUAAGCUAAAGUAUAAAGGUUUAAGGAAAGAUUUUAGUAAAACACUACAGGAACAAAGUAUAAUUUACCUUCUAAUAAGAGAUGAGAUAACAAUGUAUGGACUGUGCCUUGGGGGCCGUUUGAUAUGAAUGACACAGUGUAACGGAUAGAUUGGGUGUUUUGGGAGGGAGCACGUGGCAUAUCUGGAUUUGCCUCUUUGUUGUCUUGGAGAACAUCUUGAUCGCGGUUCAAAAAGUGGAAAUACUAUCUCCAAUGAAGGGAUUUUAAAUUUAGGGUUUUAAUCGAUUUCAAUCUUUGAUGUUCAUUGUUGCAUGAUAAAGGGUCAAUAGCAAUGAGGCUCCGUUUUGAUACUGCUAAAAGUCAAGUUUUUUUUUAAAAAUAACUACAAAAAAGAAAGUCAAUAAUAUUUGAUUUGUUUUUGCUUUUGUACCUUUAUUUUAGUUUAAAAAUAAGCAAAAAAGUAACAGAAAAGUAAAAAUCAACUCUGAUUGUUGUUUUGCUUAUGUUAGCCAAAAUUUUUAAAUGAAAACUAAAAAAAACUGAUAUACCAAAUGGAGCCUCAAUCGGUCCUCAUUGACAAAGAAUGGUAGACCGAGUGUUACAUUCCCCUCAACAUCCUUCUAUUCUGAUUUUGGCGAUAACUAAUAGCAGCCAACGAUUGGAUAGGACGAGUCUUUUUAAAUUUUAAUAAAUUUUUAGUUUUGAACUAUAAGUGUUGAAUUACUAAUGCUACACUUCCACCGAAGUUUUAAUAUCGCUUUUGUUACCCCCGAUAUCACCAACGACGUCGUAUGGGUGCCAAAAAGACAAAUGGAUUGAUUCUUACCGAAGAAACUAAAGUUUGAUUUUAAUCGUGAAGAAAUUUAUUUUAUUACCCAUAACGAAAUUUUUGAAUUUAAAACCAAUUUUUUGGUACUCUCAAUAACAAAGCGGUAACUUUGGGUACUGUACAGUUUCUGGUUGAAUUAUCGGUUGAUGGUACAAGUACAAUACACACGACCUACUAUUACAUUAGUUGUGGUCAGGGCAUCAUGAUUACGACUUUUUUUCAGUUGAAAAGUGGAAUCAUUAUUUUUGAUUAGAGGUAGGUACACUUUGAUCAGAUAUUAUUUUAACUUAACAUAUGAGAAUCUCCACUAAUUUAUAUUAUAUUGGCAAUAUCGCGUUAAAAUCUGGCUUGCUCAUUUUUAUUCAUAUGGGUUCUAUUGAUUUCACUACUCGUGCCACUAUUAUUACUUUGAGAUCAAAAACAUUGAACGAGAAUGUGGGAAAAUUGAUUUAUUACACGAGCCUAUGGAAAAAUUUGGGAAUAGGAACCCCAACCCUUAUGGACAACUAAUUUGGUCUUGUGUUUUUGUCCAUUUGGGGCAACGAAAAGAAUUUCUAUAACCAAUCGAGAUGUUCCACACAAUCUAUAUUAUAAUUAUAAUUCAUUUUGAGUUCAGCUAUGUCUUCUCGUCUAUUUCUGUUGCAAUUCAUUUGAGUUAUUCAACGGCCUGAGAUUUUACUCUUUUUCUCCCAAACCCUCGCUUCUUUUUUGUUCUCAAAGCGUGGACUCAUAUAAUUUUUUAUCCAAUCAUAAAUACUCUAAAGAAUGGGUAUAUGUUUUACCAUUAAAUUAUUUUUUUACUACCCACAAAAAAAUACUAAACACACUUUUUUCUCCCUCAUUUUUUAUUUUUUUUAUAUUUAAAUCUUUUUUUUGUUUUUUAUAUUUCAUCAACAAUUAUAUUAUAUUAAUCUUUUGAUAAUAAGACUUUAAAAUAUAUCUAUAUAAAUUUAAUUUGGGGAUAAAAAUAGUUUUUUUUAUUUUUAAUGACUUUCCUCUUAAAUUAUAGCAAUUUUUUUAUAUUUAAACUUUUUUAAAUCAAAACAAUUAAAAAAGUAUAAAAAUAUUGAUUAAUCGUGAAAAAUUUAUAAAAAUAAUAAAUAGAAAAAAUAAGCAGAUACAAAAAAUUUACCCAAAUAGUGAAUACAAGGGAAGUGAUUUUUCAUAUAUCCAUUUGUCUUUUAAUUGCACUUUUUUAUAUUAUUGAAAAUAAUUUAUUCAAUGGUUGUAAUAACAAUAUUUGAAUAAAAUAAAUAUUAAAUAACUUUAUCAUAAAAAAAAUAUAUAUAUAAUAAACUUUAAACGAAUAAUGCCUAAAGAGAUAAUAUUUAUAUUAAUAUAGUGCUCUAUGGUACGACCAUUACUAGCUAUUGAUAAUAUCAAUCCAUUAGGCUGUUUUCCUUCGGCCGGCCCACAGUAGGCUCCACUCGAGGGCCUGGGCUGAAGCAUUGAAAACAUGGCUUGGGCCUAGUCCAUUGGACCGAAGCUCAUUUCUCAGGUAUUUUUCUUCGUGUUUUCCCGCCAAAAUUUUACUGGUAUGAAGAAUGGGGAUAGGAUCCGCCUAGCCCCCAAUUCCUGUUCCAAUCCCCCGUCCCGUUCCCAAUGUGGUUGAAACGUGUUCCUUUUGUUCCUCCAUAGGUUACUCCCCUUUCCUACUAUGGUCUAUUGGCGUUUGAAAUUUUUCGAAUUUGGUCCUUAAACAUUGAUUGUUUCCAAACGCUAAUCAAAUACUUCUUAAAAAAUAGCUAUUUCUUAAAUAGUCUUUUUUACGAGAUAAUAAUAGAUAUAAAUUAUUCUAAAAUAUCUAAUUUUAAAUUAAAGUUAAUUUUGAAAAAAAAAUGUAAUCAAAACCUUAAAAAAUUUAAAAAAGCUACCAAAACAGGCUAAGAAUGCUUUUAUACCAGAAGGAUUGUUUGAUUUGACCUAUUUUGAAUAACUCAAAAAAUAAGUGUUAUAUAUUUUAAUUUAUAUUAUUUUUUUUAUGAUUGUUGAAAACUUUAUAUGUAACAAAUAAUUGAGAUCUUUUACUUGGUGUACAAAAUCUCAAAAUUUUAUUCAACAUAAAAUAUUUAUUUGUUCAUUUUUCUUUAUGGAUUCCCUAAUUAAAAGGUGGAAGUGAAAAAUUAGUGUUAUUUUAAUAGAAUAAAAAAACUUCCCAUUUGGAAUAACUUGAACUACAUUAUCUUUAGAAGAAUUUAGAUCUUAGUAUUAUCUUGUAAAAAGAGUAUUAAGAAAUAGUUUUUUUAAUAAGUAGUUUCGAUGGAGUUUGGAGCAAUUUAAUUGUUCACGAAUCAUUCAAGAAAUUCAAACUCCAAUGACCAAAUGGUAAAGGGGAGUAACUGUGGGGAAAAAGGGGACACAUGUCACCACAGGGGGUGGACAGGAAUUUGUGGACAACUGAUCCUCUCUCCUGAAUAUGAGGAAUAUCCGGUCAAAGCGUUGGUGGCAAGUAAUAUUUUGGGUGUUUUAUUGUAAGUUGAAACUAUGUUCAAAACUGAUUAUUCAAAGUAAAAGUAAACAAAAUAUCACAAUCAAGUUUUCAAAUUAGUUUAAACAUAUAAAUAAAAACAGAUGCUUGAAAGCAAAAUUUACAGACACUAAUUUCCCAAAGACAAUUUAAAAAAUAGAAUUUGAACUAACACCCACCACAUACGCAUUCACAACUAAUUCUAGGUACUGUAUGCAGGCCAAAAAUUUCUACUUUAAUACAAAAUAUUUUUCUCUCACUCGCAAUUUAUAAGGAGGGGCAAUGAAUAUAAGCCACCAUUUGGUAUUGUAUUAAGGCUGUUUGUGUGUGUGUGAGAAUCCGGAGAGUAGCAAUUCUUGAAGAUGAUUUUGAGAUUGGAAGGUGGUUUUUUGAGAUUCUUAGCUAUGAUGUGUUGUGAAGUUGGAAUUGAUAAUUAAUAACCACAUGGAAAUUACAAGAAAAACAAUGCGUACACACCCAGCACAUAUUAAGCAAACAAAAGAGAUUGUAAUGAAGGGUAACUUUCACUUACCUCCUUAGUUUAUGAUAAAUAUAAUACUUUUUUUUUAUUUUUAGAAAAUAUUUACCUCUCUUUAACUUUUAAAUUUAUGUCAAAUUUUAUAUGACGCUAGUUUUGUGAAAACAUAAAAAAAUUACCUUUUUAAUUUAGGGCUCUAAAAAAAAUUUUCUCAAUACAAACCAGUAAUAUAAAUAAAUAUUCUUUUUUUGGUUUGUAAAAAAAAAUGAUGACAAUGUUUAUUUUUGUAAGUAUGUGUUAGAUAUGAGCAUUUAGAAAGUUAAAAAUUUAGAUUAUUUUUUUUUUUAAAAAAAUAUUGAUAAUAAAUUUUAUUUUUAAUUACAUUUUUAUUUGGAUACUUAAAAGUAAGUUAUUUAGAUCAUUACAUUUUUAAAAAAUUACUUCUUAAUUACAAUAAAAUACGCCGUUACUAUAAUGUAUUUUACAAAAAGCGAAUAGUUAUUUAUUUAGAUGGGUGUAUGAGAAGAAAAGUUUAAAACUCUAACCUGAAAGAACAAAAAUAUUUUUUUGUAUAAAAAUUAGCUCGAAUAGGGGAUUUUCGAUAAUUAUUUUAAAAGUAAAAAAAAUAGUGUUAUUUAUAAAUUACGAAGAAGGUAAAUGUAUUAUCAGAAACUUCAACAGAAAUUCAUGAAAUUUACCCUUAAAUUAAACAGCCCAUGUUGGCCACUUGCAACCACCUGCAAAUUCAGUCAUGUACUUCCAGAACACAAAUUAUAUAUACAAUUAAAAUAUAAUAGCGAGGAAAGAUGAGAGAGAUGGAAAAAAUAAAUAAUCACAACUUUCUUUCUUUUGUAUUUUUACAAACAGUUGGAUUCGUCAAGUUGGCAGCAGCUGUUGAUUCCCUCUCCGUCCCAACAACAAGUAUUUUAAUGUGCAGCAUUUUUGCAUUGGGAAAUUUCUAGGCAUUUCUUAAUAUUAGUUUUCUAAUCAGGCUUUUUGGCAGCUGUUUGGUAUCAUUAUCAAUAAAUCUUUUUAAUUAUUAUCUUUAAAACCUUAAAAUAAGUUGUAAAUAUGUUUGUUGGAGCUUUUUGUAAGUUAUGAUAAAAAAUUUAUUUUUGGGUUAAGUAAUCGACUAUUUUGAAGUAAAUUCUAAAUUGCUUUAAAGUUCCAAUUUUCUAUAAUAAGUGGAAUAAUAUGGACUUUUUGCCACAAAUGUUUUAUAAGACGUCAAUAAUCCCAAAAAUUAUAAUCACUGCUUAAGUUUUUUACUUUUUUUUGGGUUCAAAUACCUGGAAAAGAUAAUAAGGUAAUUACUUAAAAUUGCUACCAAAUACCAUUACUCCCCACUUGUUUAAUCAAUGAUCUAAUUUACUUAGUGAAAUUGAAUAUCAUGUAAAUGACUCUUGGUAGUACUUAUAAGUUAGCUCUUCUUUGUGGGAAUGAAUGGAGAAAGAUGUGUUUGUAUAUCGGAUUGUUAGCGGAAAAAGAAAAUUAUAAAAAUUCGAUUGCUUGUAUAUAUUUUUUUUUACGUGAAAGAAGAAACAAAUAUAUUCCUUUCAUUUUCUUCUCGUUCUCUUAACCCGACGAAGUGAAAAAAAUAUUUUUCACUUCAUAUUUAGUUCCUAUUAUCCUUCUUUUUCCCAUCUUUUGACAAAACCAAGACUCAUACAUAGGGUAAAUUUAUCUAUAUUAUUGCAUGAAAAAAGAAUCUUCAAUCUUGAGUAAUGUUUAUCACAUUUUGAAGUUUUGUGAUAUUUUUUAUUUUCAAAUUAGCCGUAUGCAAUUACCUCAAUUAAAUAGUUCGUUUUUUUUAUUACUUUUUUUGCCUCCUUAAUCUCCAUUAAACUGCUUAAUUAGGGUUUCAUACCGACUCCAUAGAAAUGCUCAAUAAUAUAAAUGCCUUUACAAUUGUAUAUCUGAAAAAACUAUAUGGUCAUGAAUAAAACUUGUAUUAGUGGGAAUCAUAAUUAAUCUAUUCAUUUAGUAAAUUAAGAACAUUGAAAUUGAGCAUCUUCAACUAAUUUAAAUUAUACUACAUGGGUUUAGCUCUAUGGGUAUUAGUGAAAAUUUCAUAUUGCAUUUAGGGCAUUAAAAUAAUAGAUUCAUAUAGUAGAAGGACUCAGGCUUCUUUUGUAGUUCAAUUUUUGAUUGCAAGAGUGCAAUUCAAGCAUUUUAAUUCUGAUUUUGGAUCCAUUUUAAUUGUUUAAAUAUCUCAUAUUGUAGAUCUCAUUAAAAAAAAACAAUAUUAUAAAAAUUACGUUGAUUGGAUACAAAUCAAUAUUAUUUAUAUCAAGAUAAAUGUGUUUAAUCAUGUGUGUCGUACUUAUUAUUAAAUUAUAACAUAGUACUAACAUAUAAUAAUUUAUAUCCGAUCAAUAUGAUUUUUUUACCAUAUUGAUUUUUACGAAUUCUACAUAGAACUGUGGGAUAGUGGGUUUGAUGAAGGAAAAUCGAAUAUAAGAAAACUUACGGUAGUCUUCCAACGUAAAGAGAGCUCUGGCCCAGGCAGAUCUCGGAGACACUCUAGUGCAAGCACCAAAACAGUAAAACCGACCACCAGAGCUGUUUUCAGGAAACGGCUCUCCGACGGUCAAGUUAGAUUGCCCCAGAGAAAGUGUAUGUAGAGAGAGAAAGUAUGUGUAUGUUCUGAUGGCACAAAAUCGCGCACCUGAGAAGAACAAUAGUGCUCCUUUUAUAGCCUACCUCGGUGCGUACCUUUACCCACCUUCCAACGUCCGGUCGUAAGUAGAUGGCUAACCCAACCUUGCCUCUGCGGGUAGUUGGGUAGUCUGUUAUCAUUUCCUUCGGCGUCUCCGUCUGGGUAUGAGUGCUAUCAGAAGGAACUCCUUUAUGCAAGUCAUCUUUUGUCUCCUGACAUCCAUCGGGAUGACCGCCGAUAACUUGUCCCCUCCUAGCUCCAGUGCAGUUGUUUCAAAACCGAGCUUUCUAAAUAGCGAAAGUCCCUUGGCAACGAUGGCCUUAGCCCGGACAUUAUUUGUGUUCAGGAAUACUGCAACCGAGCUCCGACCUGGGGGUCCCUGAGCUUGCUUCCAGUGAUAGCAAGCGCGGAAUCCCCCGCCCUAAUAAGGCCAAAUUCUGUUCUUAUAUAUUUUGUCCUUCCUUACAAAAACGAUUUGAAUAAUUAAAAUAUAUUUUUAAAAUGAGACUCAAAAUACUUAAAUGCUUAGGAUGCAAGAGAGAUUGUAAAGAAGAUUUCAACAAUGUAUUAACAUUCCAGUAAACCAAAACCAAAACCAAACUCAAAACAAAACUCCCAAUACGAAGAACGUAAUUACAGAAAAUCAUUCGUCUGGUUGUGACAGUGAUACAACACAGGCACAUUCUCAAGAAAGAUGCACAAAAACACAAGAAUUAAUUUCAAUCAGUGUAUGGAAGACAAUAUUUCAACUACUACCAAACCUAUACAACUUAAUUUUGGGUUCAUUUGUUUUUUUCAUCUGUUUGAUAAUAGUUUUUCUAUACCCACUGAUUUGCGAUUUUACUAGAGAAUCUCUCGCGAUCUGAGCCAAUGACUGGCAAAUUGCACCGUACGAUCGUAUCAGGCGAACACCACGUCUCGUCCUUAGUAUUACCGGGCGUACAUCAACGACUAUGAUUCGAUGACAACUGUCCCCCGACCCGGUCGUGACUGGUGGAGAGUGGUUAGGCCGUAAUUUUUGGAGGCGGUGAUCCCCACCGACGACGCUGAAGCUGAUGACAUGGCCGCUCGUCCUUCGAGGAUCUCGAGGCGCUCAGUGCUGGACUCGGCGGGAGGCCGGAGACGACCGUGGACCUCCCGGAGGGAGCCGACGGCGCAGUCGCGUCAAGACGUGGCAGCUCUUAGAAGUGCUUGUUAGCCUGGGGGUUGUCGAAGCGGCGGACGACUGGCCACCGCGGCGAUGGGUGCGGCGAUGUUCUGGCCACUGCGGAGCAGCACUGCCCGGGUCCCACCGCGUGGUGGUGAUGUGGACGGCGGUCGUCCGGCAUUGAAACGGGGACUCCAAUGGUUUUGGGAGGUUUUGUGGUAAGAGAAUAGCCACGGUUGCGGUGGACGCAGAGAAUGUGGUGGCGGUGGCGGGGUGUGAUUCUGUGACUGAAGAGGACGUAGGCAUUUUUCUUCCUCUUUUGUUGUUUCCCCCCCCCCCUUCUCUCUCUACACUUGGAAGUGGGUUGGAGGGUCCUUUGGGUUUAGCUGUCAUGAUGUUCCCUGUCCUCUUCUCUCUGUGUGUGUGUAUAGGAAGAUAUGUAUGUAUAAUUGUAUAUGCGGAGAGAGAGAGACUCAUAGAGAGAAGCGAGAGGUUGGGGAGUUGGGGAUGAGAGAAAUUUGUUUUGUCCACUUGGGUUGUAUUGGUUAGGAUUAAGAUUCACCUCAAAUUUAACAUUUUAAUUUUAAAUUUUGUUAUUUAUUUUAAUUUUAUUUUAAUAAAAUUCUAAGACUUUAGCACUUCUCUUAUUCGGUAAGAUCGAUUCAAAUUGUUCAUCUUGAGACUUCACAAGAAGGUCAAUAAUACAGAGAAAUCAAGUCACCGGAUAAUAUUAGUAAUAAUACGAUUGAAUUACAUUUAUCUUAAAAAUAAACAAUGUUAUUCUAAAAAUGAUAUACGACGUUUAGACGAAAAAUGACACCAUCAUGUAGUUAUCAAUGGGAUUGUUUGGUAUCACUUGUAAGUGUCUUUAUAUAUGAUGAUUUUUUUAGAAUUAUUAACUUAAAAGACCUUAAAUAAGUUGUAAAUUUGUCUAGUACAACUAUAUAUAAUUCACGAUCAAAAGUUGAAUUUGCUUGCUCUAAAUAGGUUAUCGAUGGCUUUUUAUGAUGUAUUUGUGCAAAUUAUAAAGGUAUUCUUUAGAGAAGUAUUGUUAUGGUUUUAUAAUUAGGACCAAUUUACAUAUAUUUAUACAUUUGUAAAUUUACGUAUAUUUAUACAUUUGUUCCAUUGCUUUAACACACUUAUGCAGAUAUCUAUGAAUUUUUCACAUUUAAUAAUAUACUUUUUGCUUAUUACCCCCCACUUAUUUGAAUAGUGGUUAACAUUUUCUUAAAUGAAUGAAUCAAAUCAACCAAUGGGAUUUGGGGUCCUUACGUCCCAAGUUAUUACCCACCUUGUAGUGCCCUUUUUACGAGUUUACUAUUCACCCACUUUCAUAAUUUGAACCGUACAUUUUGUAGAGUUUGUAACCCAUGACUUGUGCAAAAAUUCAAGUGAAUCGAAUAUCAAUAAUCACAUGAUUGAAUGAUAUUUAUUGUAUAUAGUUUAUUUCAAAAAUUAUAUUUAUCAUUCAUUUCUUUUAAAAUAAAUAUAUCUGUAUAUUAUCAUAUGAUUACUGAUAUACGAUCAAUUUAAUUUAUGACUCAUAUAUUUAACGAGACAUACAAAAUUAACAAUUUGAAUUAUAAAAAUAAGCCUCGACUGCACCCACUUUGCAGCACUAUAGGGACCCAAACCCCACCAGAUGAAUUUAGGGUGGGUCCACUACCAACUAGCUUUGUCGUAAAUUUCAAUUCAAACUAAUCUAAGAGAAAGUUGGUGCUUUGUUUUUGUCUAUUAGUGGGAUAUUGUUAUGGUCUUUGUUGAUUGAUCAUUAUCACGCGCAAGCUUGCGCCGGACGUGCAAGUGGAUCCGCAACUGCAACAGCUUUUGGACGCAGUCUAGUCUUAAUUGCCCUUCUCUCUCUACGUAUUCACAUCACUAGACCGUCGGUUCCUUCGUCGAGGCUAGCUAGUUUGAUAAAAUGACAGAUAUGCCCUCACUUUGUAUUUUUAUGGGUAAAUUAUAAUUUCCACUCUCCCGUUUUUUUUUUUAUUUAUCGAAAGUUAUAUAAAAGUUGUAUACCAACUCAAAGAAAAAGAAAAUACAAGCUGAUUCACGAUCGCACCAACGCAGUCUUUAUUCAUUCGACAGUCUCCUCAUCUCUCGAGAAAGAUCUUGCAAGAUAACCGCAAAAGCAUAGCAAAAAAAGUUUGCAUAUUUGCUAACUUCUCUCUUAGCAUGAAGGCGAUCUUCGCAUUGCGUUGUCUUCAUGAGCAACUAGCAGUCUCGGGUGAAGCUUUUUUUUUAUUUUUAUGGAGCUCUCUCAUAGGGGCCAUUCCGACUGAGCUCCGUCACUUCUUAAGCAUCAAUUUCAUUUUAAUGGAGCUAUGCCAUUUUCAAUUGAUACGUCAUACUCUUCCACUCUUAUCAAAAUAUUAUUUUGCAUCAUCUAUUUUUAUUUGAAUUAGUUAAUCCCUUACAAUUUAGAUUAAGUGUCAAGAUGACUUUUAUAUUAAUUUUGUGUUUCGAUCAAGUGCAGAAAGGAGAGGUAAAAAGUGUAAUUUACCCAUCCUUUGAUUAGUAGUGAUUUAAAAGUGUAUUUAGUAUACAAAGAAGGAAGGAAAAUUAGACAGUCAAUUGCGAAUAACCAAAUCAAAUCAAAUCAAACGAGUUCUUUUGUACAAAUCAAAUUCAAGGUUGAAAUAAAAGUCAAAAAACAAUUACUUUUUCUUCAUCAUGAAAUGGCACGUGUGUAUAUAUGUGUAUGUAUGUGUGUGUAUAUAUAUAUGUAUGUAUAUAUACACAUGUAUGUAUGUUAUACCAGCUGGUGGUGUCCACGAAAAUUGAAUUUGUUCGAUUUUAAGUAAAAUUAAGGACUGAACCGAACCUACAUUUCUUAAAAUUUUUGAACCAAUUUGAUAUGUCCAAAACUUGGAACCAAUCCAUUCUGAACAUAAAAAUAACAGUUCGAUUUUGAUUUAGAACCACGAUUUUAGUAGAUAAAUUAUUAAAUUUUCAACUGAAUAAUAGUAACAAUAAAAAUGAACAUAUAGUAGCAUCAGCAUCAGCAAAGCAAACAGAGGCAGCAACACCAACACCAACAAAAAAUAAUGACAAAACUAUAGGCAACAAUUAGCAACAAAAAAAAGUCACUAUAUUAAAUAUUAAAAAAAUUAUUGAUAUUACU
rnacentral:lncRNA from 1 species